GAGAUAUCAAUCAGCUGAUAAUCAGUACGGGUAACAUGGGGAACAUCACAGUUGUGAGAAGAAGGGACGAUAUCUUCAAGCUUCUUGCCAUUGAAGAUAUCAAUUCCAACAAAAUGACAUUUUGCAUGACCAUGCUUGCCAGUUUUGGAGGUUGAGACCUCAACAACCUUACAGGGACGGUUCUUGAUGACGAUGUAACCGUUUUUACGGAUGG
rnacentral:misc_RNA from 1 species